rnacentral:tRNA from 1 species
GGCGGUGUAGCUCAGUUGGUAGAGCAGCGGAAUCAUAAUCCGCGUGUCGGGGGUUCGAAUCCCUCCACCGCUACCA